rnacentral:rRNA from 1 species
AACGAACGCUGGCGGUAUGCCUAACACAUGCAAGUCGAACGAGACCUCCGGGUCUGGUGGCGCACGCGGGCGUCACGUGGGGGAACGUGCCCGUAGACUCGGAAAAAUUCUCCGACAGGGGUGCUAACACCGGGUAAUGUACUCGAAUAAAAGAUAUAUCGUCUAUGUGUGGGCAGGCGUUGGAUUAGCUUGUUGGUAGGGUAAAAGCCUACCAAGGAGACGAUCCUUAGCUGGUCUGAGACGAAGAUCCGCCACACUGCGACUGAGACACGGGGCGAACUUCUGCGGAAGGCAGCAGUGGGGAAUAAUGGACAAUGGGCGAGAGCCUGAGCCAGCAAUGCCGCGUGAGUGAUGAAGGCCGUAAGGAUGGAAGGCUCUUUUACCCGGGAUGAUAAGGACAGUACCGGAGGAAUAGGCUCCGGCUAACUCCUG